GCUGUGUAAGUCCAUUGGGAAAUCGACCAGCUCAACUGGUCGGCGCCCGGUGGAAACUACACAGCUUGGGGCCGAGAGACUCAACGGGUACGUCCGGGGUAGGAGUGAAAUCCUGUAAUCCUGGACGGACCACCAAUGGGGAAACCACGUUGAGAGACCGGACCCGACAGUGAGGGACGAAAGCCAGGGUCUCGAACCGGAUUAGAUACCCGGGUAGUCCUGGCUGUAAACAAUGCUCGCUAGGUAUGUCACGCGCCAUGAGCACGUGAUGUGCCGUAGUGAAGACGAUAAGCGAGCCGCCUGGGAAGUACGUCCGCAAGGAUGAAACUUAAAGGAAUUGGCGGGGGAGCACCACAACCGGAGGAGCCUGCGGUUUAAUUGGACUCAACGCCGGACAUCUCACCGGUCCCGACAGUAGUAAUGACAGUCAGGUUGACGACUUUACUCGACGCUACUGAGAGGAGGUGCAUGGCCGCCGUCAGCUCGUACCGUGAGGCGUCCUGUUAAGUCAGGCAACGAGCGAGACCCACACUUCUAGUUGCCAGCAAUACCCUUGUGGUAGUUGGGUACACUAGGAGGACUGCCAUUGCUAAAAUGGAGGAAGGAAUGGGCAACGGUAGGUCAGUAUGCCCCGAAUGGACCGGGCAACACGCGGGCUACAAUGGCUCUGACAGUGGGAUGCAACGCCGAGAGGCGAAGCUAAUCUCCAAACGGAGUCGUAGUUCGGAUUGCGGGCUGAAACCCG
rnacentral:rRNA from 1 species